UUACAGAAAAGAGAUCCCAUUUUAUUUAAGCAAGGGAAGAAGCCCUGACGCGUUCUCAUACAAGGUGGGAUCAGAAGAUGCAACGCCUGAAGAAGCAAAGUUUAUGUACACGGACAACGAACAAUGUUCGGUCCUCGACAUGCCCUACAAUGGCCACCAGUGUAUCCUUUGGUCUUCCGAAUUGAAAAAGGACUCUCUGCCUCAAGAGUGCAUGGACCAGUUUGCCGACCUCUGCGGCGACGGCAUUCAGUUAUACAGCAAGGAUUUAUGCCCGAAUGAUGCAAUUGAGAAUUUCGAUGUGCUGGCUAGAUAGCAGCGCACAAAAUAAAAACGGAUUUGCUAGAAUGUUGCCCUGUAAUACGGGCAGACUUGAGCAUGUUGAGUUUAUUGUGCUAA